rnacentral:rRNA from 1 species
GUGGGGAAUAUUCCGCAAUGGACGAAAGUCUGACGGAGCAACGCCGCGUGAGUGAUGAAGGUUUUCGGACUGUAAAGCUCUGUUGUUUAGGACGAAAGUGCCUGUUGCGAACAGUUACAGGUAUUGACGGUACUAAACGAGGAAGCCACGGCUAACUACGUGCCAGCAGCCGCGGUAAUACGUAGGUGGCAAGCGUUGUCCGGAAUUAUUGGUCGUAAAGAGCAUGUAGGCGGAGAUUUAAGUCUGUUGUGAAAAUGCGGGGCUCAACCCCGUAUUGCGAUGGAAACUGAAUUUCUUGAGUGCAGGAGAGGAAAGGGGAAUUCCCAGUGUAGCGGUGAAAUGCGUAGAUAUUGGGAGGAACACCAGUGGCGAAGGCGCCUUUCUGGACUGUGUCUGACGCUGAGAUGCGAAAGCCAGGGUAGCGAACGGGAUUAGAAACCCUGGUAGUCC